rnacentral:rRNA from 1 species
UUGGAGGGCAAGUCUGGUGCCAGCAGCCGCGGUAAUUCCAGCUCCGAUAGCGUAUAUUAAAGUUGUUGCAGUUAAAAAGCUCGUAGUUGAAUUUCGGGGUUAGUAGGUUGGUCAUGCCUCUGGUAUGUACUGGUCUCACUGAUUCCUCCUUCCUGAUGAGCCGUAAUGCCAUUAAUUUGGUGUUGCGGGGAAUUUGGACUGUUACUUUGAAAAAAUUAGAGUGUUUAAAGCAAGCUAACGCUUGAAUACAUUAGCAUGGAAUAAUGAAAUAGGACGUUCGAUCCUAUUUUGUUGGUUUCUAGGAUUGACGUAAUGAUUAAUAGGGAUAGUUGGGGGCAUUAGUAUUCAAUUGUCAGAGGUGAAAUUCUUGGAUUUAUUGAAGACUAACUACUGCGAAAGCAUUUGCCAAGGAUGUUUUCAUUAAUCAAGAACGAAAGUUAGGGGAUCGAAGACGAUCAGAUACCGUCGUAGUCUUAACCAUAAACUAUGCCGACUAGGGAUCGGAUGAUGUUAAUUUUUUAAUGACUCAUUCGGCGCCUUACGGGAAAC